GACAGAGGUGCCGAGCGUUAGGCGGAAUCACUGGGCUUAAAGCGUGUGUAGGCGGACCGUUAAGUACCUUGUGAAAUCCCACGGCUCAACCGUGGAACGGCUGGGUAUACUGGCGGUCUUGGGCCACCUAGGGGCAACCGGAACAAGCGGUGGAGCGGUGAAAUGUGUAGAUAUCGCUUGGAACGCCGACGGUGAAAACAGGUUGCUGGGGGUGUGCCGACGCUGAGACACGAAAGCCAGGGGAGCGAACGGG
rnacentral:rRNA from 1 species